AAAGAAUCACAAGACCCAUGGACUGGCACCGGUUGUCUGAGGGGCCAUUUGGCAACAGGCUUGGCAGACAGGGAACAGAGCACCGAGACGGACCGGAAACACAUGCGUGUCCAGAAGCAGGAACGCGUAUGGAGAGACAGAUGGAUGGGGAGGCAGGCCUGGGGGCGGCGCUGCCGGGAGGACUAAGAGGCUGGAACUCAGGCAAGUCACAGACCCCAGGGCGCCGUCUGCCCCUCAGUAAGGGACACAGACUAAACCAUUGUUUUACAAACUUUAUUUUAGAGCAGUCUUCUUUUUCCCAAAGAAAACCUUACACGGAAUCCUGUUUUAUCUCCGAAGUGGACGUUCGCCUUGGCUCCUGCUCCUUCAGCUCCAGCUUCAUUGAGUUUUAAAAGGAUGUGAAAUUCUAAUAAAUAUUGCUUUGUGGCUUACUGAGCUCA
rnacentral:lncRNA from 12 species